GUGCAUUUCAUCUACCUCAAGAGAAUGCAGAAAGGCCAGGGCAUGACAACCCCGCAACAUCCAAGAAUUGCACAGAUUCUAUCGACGAAUCAGCCAACCGCAACCGACUUACCCUUCCCAACGACAACAGCCGUCGAGCGGCGAAACCCGAAGGAAGUCCGUUCCAACGCUUACUCAACUCCACGAAAACACCUUCCCACUUGCCGACGACCAUAACAUGAACAGGAAGCCGAGCCCUGCU